rnacentral:rRNA from 1 species
UGAGACACGGACCCCGACUCCUACGGGAGGCAGCAGUAAGGAAUAUUGGACAAUGGAGGGAACUCUGAUCCAGCCAUUCCGCGUGCAGGAUGACUGCCCUAUGGGUUGUAAACUGCUUUUAGAUAGGAAGAAAAUGGUUCAUGCGUGAGCCACUGACGGUACUAUCAGAAUAAGGACCGGCUAACUCCGUGCCAGCAGCCGCGGUAAUACGGAGGGUCCAAGCGUUAUCCGGAAUCACUGGGUUUAAAGGGUGCGUAGGCGGAAGAUUAAGUCUAAGUUGAAAGUAUGUCGCUUAACGAUAUAAUUGGCAUGGAUACUGGUUUUCUUGAAUUGGGUUGAGGAUAGCGGAAUGUGACAUGUAGCGGUGAAAUGCAUAGAUAUGUCAUAGAACACCAAAUGCGAAGGCAGCUAUCUGGGCCUUGAUUGACGCUGAGGCACGAAAGCGUGGGGAUCGAACAGGAUUAGAUACCCUGGUAGUCCACGCCCUAAACGAUGCUAACUCGAUGUUUGGACAGUAAGUUUGAGCAUCCAAGCGAAAGCGUUAAGUUAGCCACCUGGGGAGUACGUUCGCAAGAAUGAAACUCAAAUGAAUUGACGG